rnacentral:rRNA from 1 species
AGAGUUUGAUCAUGGCUCAGAACGAACGCUGGCGGCAGGCCUAACACAUGCAAGUCGAACGAGAAGCCACCUUCGGGUGGUGGACAGUGGCAGACGGGUGAGUAACGCGUGGGAACGUGCCUUUCGGUUCGGAAUAACCCAGGGAAACUUGGGCUAAUACCGGAUACGCCCUUCGGGGGAAAGAUUCAUUGCCGAAAGAUCGGCUCGCGUCGGAUUAGCUAGUUGGUGGGGUAAUGGCUCACCAAGGCGACGAUCCGUAGCUGGUCUGAGAGGAUGACCAGCCACACUGGGACUGAGACACGGCCCAGACUCCUACGGGAGGCAGCAGUGGGGAAUAUUGGACAAUGGGCGAAAGCCUGAUCCAGCCAUGCCGCGUGGGUGAAGAAGGCCUUAGGGUUGUAAACCCCUUUCAGCGGGGAAGAUAAUGACGGUACCCGCAGAAGAAGUCCCGGCUAACUCCGUGCCAGCAGCCGCGGUA